CAGUGAAAAGCCAAAUCAGAGGCAUUUAACUGUUAAUUAAAAAAUUGUAAAUUUAUUUACUUCGCUGG
rnacentral:tRNA from 5 species